GCUUUUUAAAAUUUUUCCAUCGUCUUAGUCUCUCCCAUCUUUUUUUUCAUCUAAGCGAGGUUGGUAGGUUCGACCAUAAGCGAAGGGCCGUGACGUGGUGAUGACAAGAAGAACACUGUGGAUCUCCGUAAAGAAAGCAAGGCCGGAUUACUAGUGAGAGUGGAGAUCUUAGAUCUUCAUGACUGCGAGAUCUGCCCAUGCCCAUGCGAUGCGAAGAAGCAGCAGUAAGCGGAUCCAAAUUUCUUGGUCUGAAAGUGUCCGCGACACCACGCUUCAUCCUCUCCUUCCCACUUUCUUCUUGAUUUAUGGCGGUUUCUUCCUUCAUGGCACCUAAAAGGGAAAAGCCCUCUGCGUCGUCGAUUACCCGGAAAGAAAUGUCACCUUUGAAUGCUUCUGUUGCAGCAAGCGAUGAGAAGAUGGAGUGGAGUCAUUUCAUCGGUGUGGGCGGCAAAGGCCUGUCCGCUAUCUCGAUUCUCACUCCCGGGCAAGAUACGCUUCCUCCCUGCUCUUGUUUGCUCUAAUUCUUAGGUUGUUGAUACAUCCAUGUCUCUCUCUCUCUCUCUUUAAGGGCGUCCCUUAACUUCCUCCUUUGGCCGGCAGCCAUCGCCGGUGUGUGAUGGGUGUUGGCAGUCCUCUCCGCCCUUCAGUUGUGUUCAUGUGUGGUUUCCUAUUGGGGUUCCUCUAUAGUCGGUCAGGUUUAUCAUUGCAGGCUGGGGUCUUUCAUUUCGGCUCUGUGCUAGGAGUUUUGUUUGGGUUUCUUCCGUUGAAGUUGUUGCUGGUUUCUGACAUUUGGUUGGGUUUCUUCCGUUGAAGUUGUUGCUGGUUUCUGACAUUUGGUUCGCCAUUGGGUCGGAUGCUUUGGUCACCACUUGGAUCGCCGCUUUCUAGUACGCCGCUUGGGUCCCUGCUGGUUCUGUUGUGGGUCGCCGCUUAGGUCGUUGUUGUCGGUCUGACCGCCUUGUGUCAUCCCUUAGGUUGCUGUUGGGUCUGCCGCUUGCGUCACUCUUGACGUCUACCUUUUGGUUCACCGCUGUCGGUUGGGCAUGCCGUUUAGUUGAUGUUGCUACUGAGUCGCCACUACCGCUUCUGUUUGCUGCUAGGUCGCAUUUAUCGUCUUUGGGUUUGUUGCUGGGUCAUUACUGUGACUAUUGUUGUGCAUUCAUCGCAUUAUGCAGCUGUUCAAAUUCCAACCAGCCAUCCGGGGAGAUUGGGCGUUUUUGUCAGGCUACAAGGAAUCCUUUGUGUUCAAGUGCCAACCAGUUCAAUGUCACACAAUUUUGUGGACCCCGUCCUGAUGACAAUGUGGACUCUUUUGGAGGCACUUCUAACUCCACAAAUGUUUCUCGAGUCCAGGCAUGUCCAACUCAAAAUUUCUAUGAAUAUGUUCUGUCAUCACUUGUUCCAUGUUUCUGUGCUGCUCCUAUUAAACUUGGAUAUCGUUUAAAAAGCCCUAGCAUCUCUAUGCUUCUGCCAUACGUUUCAUGCUUUUAUAUUUGCUCAUGUUUGGCCUUGAUUUGGAUCUUGAUGUCAUGCUGGCAUCAAUUGCUGGUAUAGUUGUAGUUUCUUCUCUCAUUGAAGAAAGCAUACUAAAGAGUAUAGUAAAAUUAACAAAAAACAUCUGUGUAAGUACCCUUGUUUUUGUUCAUGUAUUUGCAUGUGUAAUUGGUUUUCUAGUGUUCAGGACUUAAAGCUACAUAAUUAGUUUGACUUGGAGAUGUUUCCUUCUUCCCUUUUUCAAUGCUAAAAAAUGAGUUGAUUGUAGAAGCAUUAGCUUUGGUUAUUCACAUGUAAGCUGAUUAGUGGGUCAAUGUCUAAUUUGAUUUAAGUUCAUAACUGGUCGUAAACAACAACGUUAUGAUGCUUGGGGUUGUUUACGGCAUUGGAUUUUUGUAUCAUAAAAAUGAGACCUUAGCUGACGAUGCCUCUUUUUUUACGUACUAAAGUUUUAUCCUUCUUUUUGAAUUUUUAGUGUUUUUUGAUAGAAGAACCUAACCCAAACCAUUUGUGAAACUUUUAAUCAGUUGAAUACCCAACUUUUCUGGGAACUCCUCACCCUUAAACCAAUCUUUUGUAUAGAAGACCCUACUUUUAUGGGAGAUUUGGUGAAGUUCGUUCUUUUAACCAGCCAAGUUUUACAUUCACCCAUCUAUUUAGGGAGUACAGUUCCUUUCUCCUGGUGAUAUACCAUUUGAUGUCAAGAACUUUUGUAAAAGAGGAACUUUUCAGUUUUGCUUAAAAACAUUUUUAAAGUGUUUUCUCACACAAUGAUGUGCCUUGCUUUAUUCUUAGUACCUUUCCAAGUGGAAGGUGGAAAUUUCAAAUUCUUGUUGUCCAUCAAUGGAAGAGGAAAAUCGAAAAAAUCCUGGAUAUGAGCAGUGAAGAAAAAUCCUAUGAAGUUGAGAAAGUCAAGACUAGGAAAUGCUAUUGACUCUGGCGAUUAAGCAUUUGCAAGGAUUUAGCAGGAAAAUAUAUUGAGGGAGAAGCCAAAAUGCUCUAUAAGAUCAUGGCAGGUAGUAAAAUGAGAGUUGAGAGAUGGGCUCGGAGCUUGUGUAGUCGUUCCUCUGAGUUAGUAAUCGAGAGUACCGGGUAGGCAUAAAGGUGAUUUAUGUCUAUUUCGCGAAGAUAAUGAUUUAUGAACUUUUGACUCGUUGAAAACCCGUAAGGUGAAGCGGGUUGGACACGUGACAAAGCUACACAUAACUACCAAAGUGGUGGAGCUUCGUAGUAGCCUUUGGGGUGGUGAGGUAUUCCCUCAAAGGUGAAGGUCGGCCCAAAAAAAAAAAAAAGAAAAGCACAAGAAAAAAAAUUGAAAGGCAAAAAGCUGAAUGCAAAAGAAAAAAAAUGAAGAAAAAACAAGAAAAAAACAAAAGGUGUCUGCCAAGAGAUGAAAGACAUGAAGGCUGAACUCGCAAGAAUUGAAUGCGACAAUCUUUCGUGGAUGUACGAUUUUGGGGUCAAUAUCUGCUCCUUGUUUUGAUUAUCUAAGAUGUCGAGGAUGGUUCCUUUCUGUUCAUAUUCUGGAAAUUGAAGGACAUUCCUUUUUAAGAUUCGACAACAUUGAUGCGAAAUAAAACCAAAUGCUUGUAUGGUACUAACGGUACAUGAAGGUUAUAUUAUUUUCAUAACACGAGCACUCAAGUUUAUGAGUUGAAUUGAUUAUUUUUGAACUAUUUCAAAAUUCAAUGUAAAAACUUGACGUCUCUUGUAUGUUUCCAGGAUUCCUAGGCAUAGCAAUAACUAACCAAUCCCCUUUAGUCUUGAAAAUGUUUGACCAUUUCGUUACCAAAUUGUUAGUCCUUCUGUGAAAUAGAUGAAACCCCUCAAACCUACUUCAACCAUGCUGAGCAUGAUGAAUUAUCCAUCUUUUCCUUUUGUCUUUGGUGGGACAAGUGAUUAAGCUGACUCUAGGUGAUAUUUUUCAAAAGUUCUAUCGAAGUUGCAUAGUGGUAUAUGUCCACCUAAUCUUGUUUUUGUGAGUUGUAUAAAUUUCAUCUGUUUGAUCUUUAUCCUUUGUUUCAUUCUAGCUGCUGUUAAAAUCUUUUAUGUAGUUAUAGCUCUUUAAUAAAAGGAUCAGUUGAGGCAUUCAGCCCUUUGGUUUGUGCCCCCUCCCUCUUUCCCCACCUUACUAAUUUCUCGCUCCACCCAUGUUCGUAUCCAUGCAUUUUUAUGUCAUCAAUCUAGGGCUUGAAUUUUUUUUAUUCCUCUAGCUUGGGUGGUCCCUUUAUUUUAAUUUACAUGUGACUGGACAUGAUCCUGAAUUGUCUUUUGGUUGUCUUUUAUUUCCAAGAGGCCUCUACAUGGUGGAGGCUUGAUUUCUCAUUUUGGAUUUGAGACUGACUACAUAAAUUUUAUAUGAGGUAAAUGGUUCCAGCUUGGCGUGUUUAGACAAUGCAGCUACAUCUCAAAAGCCAUAUGCUGUUUUGGAAGUUCUUCGUGAUUAUGUGAGGGCUACAGCUCAAAUGGUCACCACAAUAUUCAUUACUUAAGUGUAGUGGGCUAUGUCAAGAAUAUAAUCAGGGUCUCUAUCAGAUCUCAACAACCUGGAAUAGCGGCCACAUCCCUAACUAUGCCUUUUAUAAUCAGGCUGCAUGAACAUAAACCAUGAGAAGAGAAUUCGUUUUGUUGAUACUCUAGCCAUCUAGAAUCUGCAAUACAACAUCAGAUUGGGCAGACCUACAUGCAAGGGAAGCGCGUGCUUUAUUGGGAUGGCUGAGUACCAGAGGUAACUAUGCUGCUCCUCUCCAGGUGUUCCGUGGGAUUGAUAUACAGAGUUUGAUACCCAAGAUGACUAAAUCUAUAGCUGAUAAGGUCCAGCGUCAAAAAGCUCGAUUUAAAAGCCAGAAGGUGCAAAAAAAAUACAAUGUCUAUGCAUUCUGUGAGUCUCUUGCUUGAAGCUAUUUUACUUAAAGCAAGAUCACUGGAACAGCUUGGUUUAAGAAAAGUCAAGUUUUCUGAAAGCAGACAGAACUUGAUCAAGAACUUUGAACAUUCUCUUUCCUUGGUGGAUUGGAACUAUUAUCCAAUUACACAGUUUAUACAGCAGUAACAGCACUAUAACACCAAGGGAAUAAUGUUGGGACUGUCAUUGACAGGUAGACUUCAACUUCAACUGCUAAGGAGGCUUUUUUUCUUUUUUUGUGGCUUGCUUCUCUUUCCAUAUCUUUUCCUCUUUAUUGCAUUUUUUAUACUGACGCUUCAAAUAAAUGCUUUUUCUCCUUCUUUUCAUGUAAUUUUUUACGGUCUGGACAGUUUCAACUUUCUGAAAUGCUUAAGUUCGUCGACAUGAAUUCUGUGUUUGUUCACUUAUUCAGAAUAUUCGAUCUUGCUUUUUUUUUUUAUGACAUUUAACUACUUCUGUUGUAAAAGAGCGUUACUAUUGGAGUUAAAAGAACAAAAUUGAUUAUAUAUUUCCUAACUUCAAAAUUUCAUGUGGUAAUAAAUAUGUUGACAAUUCCUAUGAAUGCUUGUGAGCAUGUUUUUGUUCUCUCUCAGUUUUUGUUUUCUAUAAACUUCACAUGUUUGCUUUUUCUUUUUUCUUUUGGGUGAGUUGAUUUCAGAAUUCAAUGAAUGUGAACCAUAGAAGACUCACCUUCUGUUUGUGAUUUGACAGAGGCUGCCAAGGUGUGCAAUGCUAUCCUGGACAGUAAUUUGUGUGCUUGAUUUCUUGUUAAAUCUCACAGAACCAAGAAGAUUCCUCAACUUUGACAGGCCGUUGUUAUUAUGUCACAGACGUCACAGAAUAUGAAAAAACAGACUGUGAUACUGAAACUUGUGAUUCUCAAUGACAUGCGUGAUCUCCAUAUGCUGAUGAAGCACAAGUUGUGAUUCUUUAGCCCUUUGAAAGGCAAAAGAAUGAUGGUUUUACAGCUUUUUGGGCAAGAGGAUGAUAGUGGUUACAUGGUGGUUCUGUUGGUUUCGCUUUUCUUUUCCAUUAUUGUUUUUAAUGUUGUAGAAUCAUCCUAUUAAGUGUUUGGUGUGUGGUCACACCAUGAUGAAGACUAUUCUAGGAGGCGAAUUAUUAAAAAAUUACUUGCAAGCAGCGGGAAACUUGUAAAAGCACGUAGGCAGUAGUCAGGACAACAAAUGCCUGUGGGGACAAAUUACUGCCAAAAAGAAAUUAAAAUGUGUUCAUUUUGUUUUAAGAAGGAUUUCAAGUUCUUUUACCUUCAUACCUGUGUCACGUAUAUGGGUUCUCGGCAACAGACUUGUGUCCAGGAGCAAGAAUUUAGGAAAAAGCUGCCAUGAUUUUGCCACGGGAAGGGCUGCCCUGUUGUGAAAGAAGCCAUCUUUCACCAAGAAGGAAAAACUCCAGUCGAAGCGAGUUUGUCAAUAAGCUUUGAACCCUGUUAUCUCAUGCUUCUCAAACGAGCUUUGUGUAAGUAGUCUUUCAUGGUCUCAAAAGGUUCUAAAAAGGAAUGUUAUAUCUUGUAUGUAGGGGAGCAAUUUCGGUCGAUAUGGGAAUUAUUUGUCUCGUCUGAGUCUUCCCUGUUCUUGCUUUGCAAAUACCACUUAAAAUGAGCUGGAAUUUAUCAAAGUAAUAUGCCUUCUGAGUUCUGCUAGAAUCAUGGGCAUGCAAUUUAGCAGAGCUUUUGAGUUACAAAGGGACCACAGGAUCAAGAAUCAUGAUCAAAUGUGGAGCAUUGGAGGCAUGAUCUCAGAUGCUCUCCAACGCCAUCCUCAAUUCUGGAUUUUGUUCAAUAACUCAACGACGAGAACUACUGAGAACCAUAUAGUAGUAGCAGCAGCAGCAGUUGAUGUUGACGAUGAUGAUUAUUUUAUUAUUAUUGUCUGCAGUUUAUUCAAUCGUUCUUGCAGCCUAAUUGACUGGCUCUUGUACGCUAUAGACUAUGAAUUUCAGUUUCGCUUCAUUAGCUGAACUAUAGUUCCCCAUUUGCCAGUAAAUUACUCUUUACCUAUCUUUUCUGAUGGUUCUUGAAAUACAUACUUGCACAGGCUUAAAUUUAAACAGGCACAGGUUGCAAAACAGACAUCUUCUUUGACGUAGGAGAGAACGUGGGAUUUCUUUGCAUUAGAAUCUUCCCCACCAAGCUAAAGGGCAGCCUUCUAGAUUUAGUUAGAAACCUUGUGCGAAAGGGUGUGUAGCACUGCAUGACUAACUUUCGCCGGUUCAGUCCCUUUGCUGCUCUCGACCUCCUCUACUCGCAGAUCACAAACAUGUAAGUCAACGGCCUCAGCUGCUUGGUUCCAAUGGUUCUUACGUGCAUCACUGUGCAGAUUGCUUUAUCUUGCAAUAAUGUGAUACAUAAAACGCUUGAAUCUUCCAGCGAAACUGAUGAACAAAAUACAACCUAGUCGUUGUUCCCUAUAACUGAGGCAGGCUCUUAUCUAGACACUCAAGAAAUUACCUUUCAGCAUUAGCUUUCUCUCGAAAUUCAAAACUUAUUGCACUACCCUUGAACAAUCUCAAACACCACAAUUAACAGGUAUUUUCUGGAAAAGACCAUUAACAGGUGUCUUCAUGAAGCUGAAGAAAGUGCUCAGGUUAAAUGUUACCUGUAGAAGGUUAAACACUAGGGUUGUCUGGGUGCAAGUAACCAGGGCAUUCUCAUUCAGUUACAGCUCUGCAAUUUAAUUCAUCUAAAUCAGCAGAUAUUCAGAAAAGGUACAUAGGUUGAAGAAGCUGAUACCUCGACCUUGACAGAAAUAGCAUAGGUGCUAUGCCCCCAGCUUGUAUCUGAGGUACCAGUAAUCUUCAACAC